rnacentral:rRNA from 1 species
GACGAACGCUGGCGGCGUGCUUAACACAUGCAAGUCGAACGGAAAGGCCCUGCUUUUGUGGGGUGCUCGAGUGGCGAACGGGUGAGUAACACGUGAGUAACCUGCCCUUGACUUUGGGAUAACUUCAGGAAACUGGGGCUAAUACCGGAUAGGAGCUCCUGCUGCAUGGUGGGGGUUGGAAAGUUUCGGCGGUUGGGGAUGGACUCGCGGCUUAUCAGCUUGUUGGUGGGGUAGUGGCUUACCAAGGCUUUGACGGGUAGCCGGCCUGAGAGGGUGACCGGCCACAUGGGGACUGAGAUACGGCCCAGACUCCUACGGGAGGCAGCAGUGGGGAAUCUUGCACAAUGGGCGGAAGCCUGAUGCAGCAACGCCGCGUGCGGGAUGCCGGCCUUCGGGUUGUAAACCGCUUUCGCCUGUGACGAAGCGUGAGUGACGGUAAUGGGUAAAGAAGCACCGGCUAACUACGUG